UCAUUCGCGGAAAAUAGAGCACCUAGCAAGGGGAUCGCUUGACUCAUUCGUGGAAAAUAGAGCACCUAGCAAGGGGAUCGCUUGACUCAUUCGUGGAAAAUAGAGCACCUAGCAAGGGGAUCGCUUGACUCAUUCGUGGAAAAUAGAGCACCUACAAUCUUCAACAAAAAAUGCCAAAUUGCGUUCAACUACGUGGGCUUGUCUUACGAAGAUUUCUAGCCGUCAAACGACCGCUGCAGCACAAGGCCAUGAAGGGCUGGCUCAAGUACGCUGUAUCGGCAACAUGGUUG